UUAUCUCUGUAGAGUCUGCAUAUCAAUAAGCGGAGGAAAAGAAACUAACUAGGAUUCCCUCAGUAACGGCGAGUGAAGCGGGAAGAGCUCAAAUUUGAAAUCUUCAAGGUUCUACCUUGACGAAUUGUAGUUUAAAGAAGUGUUUUCUGUUGGAGUUUUGGUAAAAGUUCUUUGGAAUAGGACAUCAUAGAGGGUGAGAAUCCCGUAUUUGACCGAUUAUUUCCAGCUGUGUGAUACACUUUCAAAGAGUCGGAUUGUUUGGGAAUGCAGUCCAAAAUGGGUGGUAAAUUUCAUCUAAAGCUAAAUAUUGGCGAGAGACCGAUAGCGAACAAGUACCGUGAGGGAAAGAUGAAAAGAACUUUGAAAAGAGAGUUAAACAGUACGUGAAAUUGUCAAAAGGGAAGCGUUUGACACCAGUGUUGUUUUCUCGAAAAUCAAUUAAAAAAAGUUGGAUUUUGUAUUGUUAAGACCUUAUCAGCUUACUGUACUCUUUUCUUGCUUUUUUUAAUGCACUUUUCGUUUAACAAGCCAACAUCAAUUUCUUUUGUUGUAAAAGGGUCAUUGGAAGGUGGCUUUCUUUUCGGAGAAAGUGUUUAUAGCCUUUGGCCUCUGCAAUCGGAGAGAUUGAGGUCUGCAGCGUAGAUCCUUCGGGGUUAGAUACAUUUGUGCUAAGUUAUAGCCUUUCAUAGACAACUUGUUGACUAUGAUCAGUCAUGUAGCUUACUCGCUUAUGCUAUUUUACCUACGCUUAGGAUGUUGACGAUCAGCUGAGCGCG
rnacentral:rRNA from 1 species